rnacentral:rRNA from 1 species
UGGGGAAUUUUGGACAAUGGGCGCAAGCCUGAUCCAGCCAUGCCGCGUGCAGGAUGAAGACCUUCGGGUUGUAAACUGCUUUUGUACGGAACGAAAAGGUGCCUUCUAAUAAAGGGCGCUCAUGACGGUACCGUAAGAAUAAGCACCGGCUAACUACGUGCCAGCAGCCGCGGUAAUACGUAGGGUGCGAGCGUUAAUCGGAAUUACUGGGCGUAAAGCGUGCGCAGGCGGUUUUGUAAGACAGAGGUGAAAUCCCCGGGCUCAACCUGGGAACUGCCUUUGUGACUGCAAGGCUGGAGUGCGGCAGAGGGGGAUGGAAUUCCGCGUGUAGCAGUGAAAUGCGUAGAUAUGCGGAGGAACACCGAUGGCGAAGGCAAUCCCCUGGGCCUGCACUGACGCUCAUGCACGAAAGCGUGGGGAGCAAACA